AUUGAACGCUGGCGGCAGGCCUAACACAUGCAAGUCGAGCGGAGCGGCGGACGGGCGAGUAAUGCAUAGGUAUCUGACUGGUAGUGGGGGAUAACGUCCGGGAACGGGCGCUAAUACCGCAUACUAUCAGAUGAGCCUAGGUCGGAUUAGCUAGUUGUUGGGGUAAAGGCCUACAAAGGCGACGAUCCGUAACUGGUCUGCGAGGAUGAUCAGUAACACUGGAACUGAGGCACGGUCCAGACGCCGAGGGGAGUCAGAAGUGGGGAAUAUUGGACAAUGGGCGAAAUCCUGAUGCAGCCAUGCCGCGUGGAUGAAGAAGGCCUUCGGGUUGUAAAGUACUUUCAGCGGGGAGGCGGUACCCGCAGAAGAAGCACCGGCUAACUCCGUGCCAGCAGCCGCGGUAAUAC
rnacentral:rRNA from 1 species